UACAGAGGUCUCAAGCGUUGUUCGGAUUCAUUGGGCGUAAAGGGUGCGUAGGCGGCGCGGUAAGUCGGGUGUGAAAUCUCGGAGCUUAACUCCGAAACUGCAUUCGAUACUGCCGUGCUUGAGGACUGGAGAGGAGACUGGAAUUUACGGUGUAGCGGUGAAAUGCGUAGAUAUUGGGAAGAACACCCGUGGCGAAGGCGGCUCUCUGGAACGCAACUGACGCUGAGACGCGAAAGCGUGGGGAGCAAACAGG
rnacentral:rRNA from 1 species